AUGUGUCACAGCUUCACGCUCAGUAUUUGGAGCUGGAUAUUGUAGAACAUUAUUAAUAGUCCUUGGUUUUACUCUGUAUGAAUUUGACAUAUGCUUUCAAGAAUGCUGAGCCUCCUCCCACCACCUUGAGGUGCAGAUUACAGCUAACACAUGGCACCAGCUGCUGCAAGGGUGCAGAGCUGCCUUUCAAAAGCAGAGGGAGUUGCCCAGUGGAUCUAUUUGCCAGUGGCCACACAGGGAGCACGUGAAAGAAGAGGCCUAAAAGCAUGAUAAAGCAAAUGGUUUGAAACCUACUUGGCAAAUGACUACUCAAUUGAAGAUAACUAUGUAUAUGCAGAGAGCCUGUAGGGAAUGGAGGAGACGGAUUGACCAGCAAAUAAAUUCACUUCAGAAGUCAGCUUAGAAAAAAGGUUGAACUGAAAAAGGAGACAGGUCAUUCCAAUAAAUAACCAGAAGAGCCCUGAAAAAUUGCUACACUAGGGCAAAAAUUAGGGUUAUUUUUUUAAAGACUGAAAGACUUAGUGCAUGAGAUGGCGUGUGUUAUGCUAGGAAUUUCUAAUAGGUAUACUGCUUUAGAAACAGAUUUUUAGUUUCCUUUAAUAUUGUGACCUACAGCACAGAUCUGUGCAGUGGCCAUCUUAAUUGAACAAUCAAACAAACAGUGUGAUUUAUUCCUCAUACUGUCCUGAACUGUUUAAUUCUCUGGUGAUCUAACGGUCAUAAGUUCUACAGAGAGCAUCACUUACUCACUGUUCUUGCAGUAUGUCUUGUCACUUCUGGGGAGACCCAUUUCAAGGGUGUUGUAACAUCACAGCUGUGUCAGGCAGGGAAAGACCAGUUUGGCUUGAAGUUAUCACUUUUGUGCUCUGUGCUGCAUUUUUGUUUGUGUUCCAACAUGUACCUAUUAUUUAUUUUGGCUCUUGAUGUUCAUGGGUUACAUGUUACCUUAUUUCAUAACUUACUCUGUGGAAAAUGGGUACAGAAUGUUACAAUUCUAAUUUAAUAUCAUUUUACAAUAAUCUUAAACUAUCGAGUUUUUAGAUGUCGUGUAUAUGAAAUCUCCCUCCUCAUUUUCUUCUAACAUAAGAAGGGACAAGUAAUUGGUUUGUGAAAUAAAGAAGUCCCAUGUCCCUGUCAAAACAAAAUUAAAGUACAAGGCUCUUGCUUGAUGUUCUUUCUGAGUGUGAUUUUUAUCUGUAAGUUUUAAUGGGGUCCUUCAUGCUGGAAACAUCUUUGGAGACAAGUGAAAAUAAUCUGUCAGUUGCCAUGGACACAUCUAUGUGAAAACCUCAUGUUCGUCUUAUUCUGUGUGACUGCACGCUGAUACGUGCUGUAUAGAACAGACUGAGCAUCCCCAACUUAAUUCCUAAUAUGCACUGUGACUUUUAUGCAACUCCCUAUACAGCUAAUUUACAUGGCUUGCUUUCAUUGCAGUCUCUAUCAAUU